AACGCAGGUGGUUUGGUAAGUCAGGGGUGAAAGUCCACAGCUUAACUGUGGCACUGCCUUUGAUACUACCUUUCUUGAGUGCAUGAGGGGGAAGCGGAAUUCCGAGUGUAGAGGUGAAAUUCGUAGAUAUUCGGAGGAACACCGGUGGCGAAGGCGGCUUCCUGGCAUGUAACUGACACUCAUGUUCGAAAGCGUGGGGAGCAAACAGGAUUAGAUACCCCGGUAGUCCACGCCCUAAACGAUGGGCACUAGGUGUGGGAGGUAUCGACCCCUUCCGUGCCGCAGCUAACGCAUUAAGUGCCCCGCCUGGGGAGUACGGCCGCAAGGUUGAA
rnacentral:rRNA from 1 species